GACCCCAGGUCAGGCGGGACUACCCGCUGAGUUUAAGCAUAUCAAUAAGCGGAGGAAAAGAAACUUACCAGGAUUCCCCUAGUAACGGCGAGCG
rnacentral:rRNA from 2 species